rnacentral:rRNA from 1 species
CAGUAGCCGCGGUAAUACGUAGGUGGCAAGCGUUGUCCGGAAUUAUUGGGCGUAAAGGGCUCGCAGGCGGUUUCUUAAGUCUGAUGUGAAAGCCCCCGGCUCAACCGGGGAGGGUCAUUGGAAACUGGGAAACUUGAGUGCAGAAGAGGAGAGUGGAUUUCCACGUGUAGCGGUGAAAUGCGUAGAGAUGUGGAGGAACACCAGUGGCGAAGGCGACUCACUGGUCUGUAACUGACGCUGAGGAGCGAAAGCGUGGGGAGCGAACAGGAUUAGAUACCCCGGUAGUCCCUGUCUCUUAUAU